rnacentral:lncRNA from 1 species
GUGAAAUGAAGACAUGGCUAAAAACAUUCAGCCAUUUAAGUAAUAUACAGUAAUAACAAUCUUAUAAUUCUAAAAAAAUGCAUGGUCAUAUUUCACGUUAAAAGAAUGAUAAGAUUGAAAUCAUUCCGGGCAAAGACCAAGCCCGGUCUUCUUUCUUGGACAGAACAGCACCAUUACUUCCCUUAAUAUCAAUCAACAUAAAAAUAUAUUAACCAUUCCUAUUGUCAGUUCAGCAAUUUCAAAUCAACACCACCACUACUUGACUUGAACCAAAUGAAAACUACAAAAACACCAACCACCCCUCCGUCCAAUAAAAAUAUCAUAUUGGAUACAUCACAAAGACACCAACAAUCACUCAGUCCAAUAAAAGUGUCAUAUCAGAACCAUCACAUAGACAACCACCACCACUCAGUCAAAUACAAAUGUCAUAUUGGAACCAUCACAAAGACACCACCAACCACUCAUUAUACAUGUUAUAUUGGACCACCAAAAUCCAUAAAAGAGAUGACCAAGUGUACCCUAGGCUGUUUAUCUUCCUUGGCUGAAGCAGUGGACGAAACUUACAUUACCAAAGUGAUAUAAUGUCAUUAUCUAUGAAGGUUACUGAUCCAAAGUAUACUAGUAAUGACAACUGUAACUCAAGCUAACUCCAAUUCUGCUCGCAAGAUCUGACCAUUAGUUGAAGUCCUCGAUCACCUUUGCUAGUUCUAAUUUAGGAAACCAAAUACUUUCCAGGUCCCCUCAUUGCAAUCAUUUGUCUCUUCAGCUGUUUCCAAAAUCAGACACCAAAUGCUGCUAUACAGGAAUCAAUUUUUCAGAAAUAUAUAUAUAUUUUUUUCUAAACAACAAGAAAGGCAGCCUUGUGUUUAUCAGUAGAUUGAUUUAUAGAAGAAAAGUAUCGACCGCAAUGCUUGUUUAUUUAUAAAUAGAACCAGAAGGCAGCAAGGGAAACCAUGGCAUUGCAAUACUUGUUUAUUUGUAAAUAGAACCAGAAGGCAGCAAGGGAAACCAUG